GGAGUUAGCCGGUGCUUCUUCUGUGAGUGAUGUCCUUCCUGCCGGCUAUUAACCCGCAGGCCUUCUUCCUCACUGAAAGUGCUUUACAACCCGAAGGCCUUCUUCACACACGCGGCAUGGCUGGAUCAGGGUUGCCCCCAUUGUCCAAUAUUCCCCACUGCUGCCUCCCGUAGGAGUCUGGGCCGUGUCUCAGUCCCAGUGUGGCUGAUCAUCCUCUCAGACCAGAUACGGAUCGUCGCCUUGGUGAGCCGUUACCUCACCAACCAGCUAAUCCGACAUAGGCUCAUCCGAUAGCGCGAGGCCCGAAGGUCCCCCGCUUUCCCCCGUAGGGCGUAUGCGGUAUUAGCCUGGGUUUCCCCAGGUUAUCCCCCACUACCGGGCAGAUUCCUAUGCAUUACUCACCCGUCCGCCGCUCGCCACCAGGGAGCAAGCUCCCCGUGCUGCCGCUCGACUUGCAUGUGUUAGGCCUGCCGCCAGCGUUCAAUCUGAACCAAGAUCAAAUUCUGA
rnacentral:rRNA from 1 species